rnacentral:rRNA from 1 species
AGUCGUAACAAGGUCUCCGUAGGUGAACCUGCGGAGGGAUCAUUACACAAAUAUGAAGGCGGGCUGGAACCUCUCGGGGUUACAGCCUUGCUGAAUUAUUCACCCUUGUCUUUUGCGUACUUCUUGUUUCCUUGGUGGGUUCGCCCACCACUAGGACAAACAUAAACCUUUUGUAAUUGCAAUCAGCGUCAGUAACAAAUUAAUAAUUACAACUUUCAACAACGGAUCUCUUGGUUCUGGCAUCGAUGAAGAACGCAGCGAAAUGCGAUAAGUAGUGUGAAUUGCAGAAUUCAGUGGAUCAUCGAAUCUUUGAACGCACAUUGCGCCCUUUGGUAUUCCAAAGGGCAUGCUUGUUCGAGCGUCAUUUGUACCCUCAAGCUUUGCUUGGUGUUGGGCGUCUUGUCUCUAGCUUUGCUGGAGACUCGCCUUAAAGUAAUUGGCAGCCGGCCUACUGGUUUCGGAGCGCAGCACAAGUCGCACUCUCUAUCAGCAAAGGUCUAGCAUCCAUUAAGCCUUUUUUUCAACUUUUGACCUCGGAUCAGGUAGGGAUACCCGCUGAACUUAAGC